rnacentral:misc_RNA from 1 species
GUAUUUAAUUUAAAGAGCACAGAGGCUCAAUUGACAAUGUUCAGAUACAUUCUAUUGGUGUAUAUAUAAAAGAACAUAGAUCUAGAAACACAAGAAAAGCUGGCUUUAAUCGGUACAGCAAUUCUCAACUCAAGUAGGUUAUUACUUGAAGGUUGUUUCAAGUUCUACACAGGUGCACAGGGGGUUAGAAAUAAUAGAUUGGGUGUGCACAUGCUCCGAGUUGGAAGCCAGCAACAACCCAAUCAAUUUCGUUCAAUAAUGAUCCUUCCGCAGGUUCACCUACGGAAA